GACGAACGCUGGCGGCGUGCUUAACACAUGCAAGUCGAACGAAGAGCGAUGGAAGCUUGCUUCUAUCAAUCUUAGUGGCGAACGGGUGAGUAACGCGUAAUCAACCUGCCCUUCAGAGGGGGACAACAGUUGGAAACGACUGCUAAUACCGCAUACGAUCCAAUCUCGGCAUCGGGACUGGAUGAAAGGUGGCCUCUAUUUAUAAGCUAUCACUGAAGGAGGGGAUUGCGUCUGAUUAGCUAGUUGGAGGGGUAACGGCCCACCAAGGCGAUGAUCAGUAGCCGGUCUGAGAGGAUGAACGGCCACAUUGGGACUGAGACACGGCCCAGACUCCUACGGGAGGCAGCAGUGGGGAAUCUUCCGCAAUGGACGAAAGUCUGACGGAGCAACGCCGCGUGAGUGAUGACGGCCUUCGGGUUGUAAAGCUCUGUUAAUCGGGACGAAUGGUUCUUGUGCAAAUAGUGCGAGGAUUUGACG
rnacentral:rRNA from 1 species